rnacentral:lncRNA from 1 species
CCUCAAAGGGACUGAAAGCAGCUGCUCACGGUGUGGUCACUUCUCUCUCAUCAGAACCAGCUUGACCACUGUUGUCCAUUGUCCUUUGUGUUCCCUGAGAUCACUACCCAAACUUACUCUCAACCCUUGCCUCGCUAUUUGGCCUUGGGGAAGUAUGAACCAAGAUACCACCUGAAGGUACCACAGGGCAAAAGUGAAAUGGAGACAUGGAAGCUGGCUUGCCUGGGGACCUGGGACAGGGGAAGGCUGGUGGGGGUGAAUCAAGACUGAUUCUUAUCCUUCCUUUACUCAGCUUCAUCAGAAAUGAUCUGGCCCUAUUUUUCCAGGUAAGUAACCAAGUAUUUAAUAUGUAGAGUCUUUUCAGAGAGGACUCAAGAUAUUAGAACAUAUGUGGACCCUCACUUCUAUCAAGUAUCUGAGUGUAUGGCUUGCUCCAUUGAGACUCGGGAUUCAGCCAUUUGCCUACUGUACCCCUGACUCUCUUCGCUAUCUAAUCAUCAAAAGGAUUCCUUUGGAAUGGGAAGGUAAAGUUCAACCCUGAAGUGUUCUGGCCUGUCUUUCUCUGAGCAACAAAACACCAGCUUCCUUGCCUUUACCUACCUGGCUCACCAGGGGAUGCAAAGAUCUGUUUACAGGAUUGCUCAGCCUGUAAAAGGGAGAUAACUCUUGAUCCAACUUGCUUUCCAAGAGUGAUGGGAAGAUAAACGCCCACAAAGUCCUGCAAACCCUUGGGAUGAAAGGCACUCUGUAAAUAGAACAUGGUUUAGGGUGAUUACAUUUUGAUACUGUGGCUCUCAGGCCUAUCCCUGGAGUGUGGUGUGGCUGAGAGGUAGAAGAGUGAGCUGGCCUCUCUGUCUCUACAUGCCCCCCCCCCCCACCCGACUUCACCUGCUGGCAGCUGCCUCUUGAAGUGUUGUCAUUUCUGUCCCUUCAACUUAGCUUUCACUUUUAAGAGGCUGGUGAGGCUUUUAUGUUUUUACCCUUGACUGUCUUCAAACUUGGAGGCAGGUUUUACAAACACACAGGCACCAUGUCAGAGAUUUCUCUUCUCCUGGGGUAGGAGUGGACUCAAGGACCAGACAGGAAGCAGGCAUUGGGCAUAUCCUCCAGGCUGGAAACCAGUGUGUGUGGAUGGCCUGACACACAAGUAAGAAUCACCUGUUCUCAAGCCAACAAGCGUCACAGUUUGCCCCUUUGUGACAGAACUGGAACUCUGCAAAAGCGAAACAAAACCACCAUAGAAAAAUACCCUCUCCUUCCCAAAUUAAUUCUUUCAGUUUAUGCUCCCAACUCCAUAAAAAUGUGCUUUAGCUUUUGAAGUUUUUAUUAAUAUUUAUAAUGCCCUUUUUGUGCCCUUGAACCUCACAGAAAUAAAGCCCUGAUAUAAAAUGCCUAGUUGCUAGGU